UACGGAGGGAGCGAGCGUUGUUCGGAAUUACUGGGCGUAAAGCGUGCGCAGGCGGAUCGCCAAGUCAGAAGUGAAAGCCCCGGGCUUAACCCGGGAAUUGCUUUUGAAACUGGCGAUCUUGAGUAUCGGAGAGGUUGGCGGAAUUCCCAGUGUAGAGGUGAAAUUCGUAGAUAUUGGGAGGAACACCAGUGGCGUAAGCGGCCAACUAGACGAUAACUGACGCUCAGGCACGAAAGCGUGGGGAUCAAACAGG
rnacentral:misc_RNA from 1 species